AAUUUUGAAUGACAGUUACCUAUUUUUCAGUUUUAGAUAUGGAGAGAAUAUUUGUUCAGUUGUGUCUACUGCUGCUUAUGUUCAGUACUGAGGUUAGUAAAUCAGACUCGCCUCAUCAACCAAAGGAAGUACUGGUGAUUGGUGGAGGGAUCUCUGGACUAGCUGCGGCCAGGAAACUGGUCAACCAUCCUUCACAGCUGUAUGAUGUUACAGUCCUGGAAGCUAGAAAAGAACGAUAUGGUGGCCGUGUGUGGACAAGCAGGAAACUUUUCAAGAAACCUAUUGGUGCAGAGACUGACCUUGGUGCCACCUGGAUCAAUUCUAAGGAGAAGGAUAACCCUAUCUUAGCCAUUACAAGGAAAGGAGAGAUAGAGACUAAAACAUCGGGUCCUAUCCAGCUUCAUGUUCCAGAGGCUGGCAAGAUUUUCACGGGUGAUGAGGCCAACAAAAUAUUCACAGAAGUUUUCUCUAUGAUGCAGUCUGCAGUAGACAGAGUAAAAGCCACUGGUAUAGAUGUCCCCCUACAGAAGGCUGUUGAGGACGAGAUCACACGUCACACAUUCCAGGGUGACCGUGCCAUCAUCACGAGUAUUCUACGUAAUCAUCAGGCUGUCACCAAGGCAGAUUACUCUGCCAUGUUCUUUGACCCGGUAAAACUAUUUGGCUGGAAUACGGUCGUGGUGGAUGGAUUUGACCAAGUUCUAGAUGCUAUUGUAUCUGGUCUGGGAACGGAGAAACCUUUGUCCGUCAGCCUUAACCAAGUGGUCAGACAAAUCCAUAUUAACUCCGACAAGAAAAAGGUGAUUGUCCGUACCAAGGACCUGACACAGGUAGAGGCUGACCUUGUGAUUGUGGCUGUUCCAGUCGGCGUGUUGAGGAAUGAGGCCCUUCUCUUUGAUCCUGUGCUUCCUGGAGAAUGGUACAAGGCAAUGAAGGAGUUAGGUGUAUACCAAUCACAGAAAGUCAUCGUUGGCUUCUCUGAGGUGUUUUGGCCGACUGACAUCGGAGUGUUUACCAUGACAACACCAGAGGGGCAGGAGCCAUUCAUCCAGACUUGGUUCAACAUGCAGAAUCUUGUUGGUAUGCCAUUCCUGAUUGGUACGUUGUACGACGAAGCAGCCGUCAGUAUGGAACAAACACCUGUAGAGGAACUUAAACAACAAGUGAUCAAAGUUUUGGGGAAGUUGUUUGGUGAAGAUUUGGUGUCCCAGUAUAAUAUGACUACAUUGGUGAGAUCACAGUGGACAAGUGACCCUUUUACCUUGGGAUCUGGUGCUUAUCCACGGACAGGUAAUGUCCCUGGUAUGUGGGAUACUCUGAGCCCUCCUGUCUGACUCUAUUUUAGGUAAUGUCCCUGGUAUGUGGGAUACUCUGAGCCCUCCCUGUCUGACUCUAUUUUAGGUAAUGUCCCUGGUAUGUGGGAUACUCUGAGCCCUCCUGUCUGACUCUAUUUUAGGUAAUGUCCCUGGUAUGUGGGAUACUCUGAGCCCUCCUGUCUGACUCUAUUUUAGGUAAUGUCCCUGGUAUGUGGGAUACUCUGAGCCCUCCUGUCUGACUCUAUUUUAGGUAAUGUCCCUGGUAUAUGGGAUACUCUGAGCCCUCCUGUCUAACUCUAUUUUAGGUAAUGUCCCUGGUUUGUGGGAUACUCUGAGCCCUCCUGUCUGACUCUAUUUUAGGUAAUGUUACUGGUAUGUGGGAUACUCUGAGCCCUCCCAUCUGACUCUAUUUUAGGUAAUGUUACUGGUAUGUGGGAUACUCUGAGCCCUCCUGUCUGACUCUGUUUUAGGUAAUGUCCAUGGUAUGUGGGAUACUCUGAGCCCUCCUGUCUAACUCUAUUUUAGGUAAUGUCCCUGGUAUGUGGGAUACUCUGAGCCCUCCUGUCUGACUCUAUUUUAGGUAAUGUUACUGGUAUGUGGGAUACUCUGAGCCCUCCUGUCUGACUCUAUUUUAGGUAAUGUCCCUGGUAUGUGGGAUACUCUGAACCCUCCCGUCUGACUCUAUUUUAGGUAAUGUCCCUGGUAUGUGGGAUACUCUGAGCCCUCCUGUCUGACUCUAUUUUAGGUAAUGUCCCUGGUAUGUGGGAUACUCUGAGCCCUCCUGUCUGACUCUGUUUUAGGUAAUGUCCCUGGUAUGUGGGAUACUCUGAGCCCUCCUGUCUGACUCUAUUUUAGGUAAUGUCCCUGGUAUGUGGGAUACUCUGAGCCCUCCUGUCUGACUCUAUUUUAGGUAAUGUCCCUGGUAUGUGGGAUACUCUGAGCCUCCUGUCUGACUCUAUUUUAGGUAAUGUUACUGGUAUGUGGGAUACUCUGAGCCCUCCCAUCUGACUCUAUUUUAGGUAAUGUCCCUGGUAUGUGGGAUACUCUGAGCCCUCCUGUCUGACUCUAUUUUAGGUAAUGUCCCUGGUAUGUGGGAUACUCUGAGCCCUCCUGUCUGACUCUAUUUUAGGUAAUGUCCCUGGUAUGUGGGAUACUCUGAGCCCUCCUGUCUGACUCUAUUUUAGGUAAUGUCCCUGGUAU